rnacentral:rRNA from 1 species
GUGGGGAAUAUUGGACAAUGGGCGCAAGCCUGAUCCAGCCAUGCCGCGUGAGUGAUGAAGGCCCUAGGGUUGUAAAGCUCUUUCACCGGAGAAGAUAAUGACGGUAUCCGGAGAAGAAGCCCCGGCUAACUUCGUGCCAGCAGCCGCGGUAAUACGAAGGGGGCUAGCGUUGUUCGGAAUUACUGGGCGUAAAGCGCACGUAGGCGGACAUUUAAGUCAGGGGUGAAAUCCCGGAGCUCAACUCCGGAACUGCCUUUGAUACUGGGUGUAUGGAGUAUGGAAGAGGUGAGUGGAAUUCCGAGUGUAGAGGUGAAAUUCGUAGAUAUUCGGAGGAACACCAGUGGCGAAGGCGGCUCACUGGUCCAUUACUGACGCUGAGGUGCGAAAGCGUGGGGAGCAAACAGGAUUAGAAACCCCUGUAGUCC